rnacentral:rRNA from 1 species
UGGGGAAUAUUGCACAAUGGGCGCAAGCCUGAUGCAGCCAUGCCGCGUGUAUGAAGAAGGCCUUCGGGUUGUAAAGUACUUUCAGCGGGGAGGAAGGUGUUGAGGUUAAUAACCUCAGCAAUUGACGUUACCCGCAGAAGAAGCACCGGCUAACUCCGUGCCAGCAGCCGCGGUAAUACGGAGGGUGCAAGCGUUAAUCGGAAUUACUGGGCGUAAAGCGCACGCAGGCGGUCUGUCAAGUCGGAGGUGAAAUCCCCGGGCUCAAGCUGGGAACUGCAUUCGAAACUGGCAGGCUAGAGUCUUGUAGAGGGGGGUAGAAUUCCAGGUGUAGCGGUGAAAUGCGUAGAGAUCUGGAGGAAUACCGGUGGCGAAGGCGGCCCCCUGGACAAAGACUGACGCUCAGGUGCGAAAGCGUGGGGAGCAAACA